UUACAUUGAGUCUCAAUUCAAUAUAACCACAUAGCAUGCUAAGAUUUUAUCUCUACAAUAAAUAAUAGAUUAAGCCAUCUCUGGGUAAAGAACGAAGGAUCAAAUUGGCUCUCUUCUUCUGAAGUGAUUAAGGAUCAGCAUAAUGACUAGAGAGCAUGGACGGGGAGGUCCAAGCAGAAGGUCUAAUUCCUCUGUCCAGGAACAGAAACAUACUUCAAAAGAAGGAGCAACAUAAAGAACCCUUAUAAAAGUCCUCAAGAAAUAAAGGAAGAAAAAACUUUGCCAUCUGGGCUAUGGGGAAAGAGCUGCAAGAGCUGCCAAAUGUACUUUAAUGGUCAUUGGUUGGAAACCUGGUCUCCCAUAUAAAGGGAAAGGAUUCCGGAACUUAUGCAGCACACAGAUGGUGAAGUAAUUUGCAUCAAUACAGCAAUUUUCCCAUCAGAGGAAGACCAGAAGUGCAACGAGGACAGUGAAAUUCAUCAAGUAAUAUCUAACAAAUGAAGAACAAAGUCUCCAAAAUAUAAAGCAACCUGUUCAGAAAGAGAGAGGAAAAGCCAAGGCUGGGCUCCAGCAUCAACAGGAGUCACAUGGAACAUGACCACAAUAUAUAACUUCUAAAUCGGUUUAAGGAGGGUCCACUUUAUCCAUGGAUCUUCUAAUGAGGAAGCAGUGUGGGACUGUAGGACAAACAGGAUACUGAUACAUUGAAGCCUCUCUCAAUUGAAUUCUACAUUUAAUACCUAGAAAGGACUGAUGGAAACACAAUUAAGGGGAGACAACCAACUUCUCCUCUUCUGAUGAUCCUGGGGCCCCCAUCCUUUUGUGUCAAGCACAAAGAAAAAGGAGAGAGAGGGAGAGACAGAGACAAAGAAGCAGCCCAUGUAACCAAGCGCUGAACAUGAUUUAAACAACCAACUUAGUAAACAUCAAUCUUAGGAUGUGUUAUGUGAAAUGGAGUCAUACUCCAAAAGAAAUGUUGGCUACAUUUAAAAGAUCACUUUGUCUAAAGAAAAUGCCAAGUUGAAUUUCCAUGCAGUAAGUCAUCUUUCUACAAGAAGCUGACAAGACAAAAGCAACAAAGUGAAAAGGUGAACAAUGGUUCAUUUGAAAAAAAGUAACAGCAUUAUAAUCUUUUUUUUUUUUUAAGGGUCUGGUUCCCUUGUUUUAGAUUAUUUGUCAAGGAUCAAUGUGGCUCUGAGAAGAGACUUGUGUGACUUGCUGUGUUACUAUGUGUAAAUCACUUUUCCUCCCUGAACCUCAGUUUUCAUCUAUGUAAUAUAGGGGAUUGACCCAAAUGACUUUUGGGUUAACUUUCAGCAUGAAUUUGCUAUGAUGGGUGUCCCUGCAGCCACAGGGCAACCUCUUAACACACAUGCAAGUUGUAAGGACAGUUAGAGCUUGAAGGGUCGCAGGGUCUGGCGCUAGUUUGUCAAAAUGCAGCCAUUGGAAAGGUAUGCGAUGCGAAAACAUUUUAGAAUCCUUGGAGUUACACUUCCUCCCUAAGGUUCCACAGCUAUUUUCUGAGAAAAAUAAAGAGAAGUCCAGGAAUGGCAGUCAAAAUC